rnacentral:rRNA from 1 species
UACGGAAGGCAGCAGUGGGGAAUAUUGCACAAUGGGCGCAAGCCUGAUGCAGCCAUGCCGCGUGUAUGAAGAAGGCCUUCGGGUUGUAAAGUACUUUCAGUCGUGAGGAAGGUGUUAAGGUUAAUAACCUUAGCAAUUGACGUUAGCGACAGAAGAAGCACCGGCUAACUCCGUGCCAGCAGCCGCGGUAAUACGGAGGGUGCGAGCGUUAAUCGGAAUUACUGGGCGUAAAGGGCACGCAGGCGGUUAAUUAAGUUGGAUGUGAAAUCCCCGGGCUUAACCUGGGAAUGGCAUUCAAGACUGGUUAGCUAGAGUCUUGUAGAGGGGGUAGAAUUCCAUGUGUAGCGGUGAAAUGCGUAGAGAUGUGGAGGAAUACCGGUGGCGAAGGCGGCCCCUGGGACAAAGACUGACGCUCAUGUGCGAAAGCGUGGGGAGCAAACG